GGUCAUAAGACAUCGUCUCACAUUGUAUUGAAAGAAGAAACCAGAAUGAUGGGGGCUGCCCAAGUAAUGAUUGGUCUGAUCCACUGUGUUCUGGGAUAUUUCUGGAUAUACUUAUAUGUCAGAGAAUUUGAAUCAGUUUCAAUAAAUUAUCUGCCUUUAACGUUGAUGUCAGGAUACCCAUUUUGGGCAUUCUUGUUUUUUAUCAUAUCAGGAAUUUUUUCAAUAGAAGCAGAGAAGACACGUUCCCCAAAAUUGGUAAG